GGCACCUUUGUAUGCAAAGAAGAGGUUGACGAAGCAGCGAGGCUACUACGGCUGUUGGACGCGGACCACCUGUUCAAAAGCCAAGCGCUCCGACACCCAUCCAUUUAUGGCUCGCCAAGCAGCGAUGGAAAGGUGGGCCAGCGUUUUCAGCCUCAUGGUCCUGUGCCUCGUUGUCACCUGCGCGGCAUCUCCGCAGAGGAAACGAGGCGAAGCUGUGCUCAGACCGAUGGCAGGCGGGCGUGUUGUAGUGCAUGCGGCAUCGCCGCUGCCAGAGACGGCGUACGUGAAGCAGCGCCCCUUCAAGGACUCGCUGCGCGUGAAGAAGAACGGCGGUGCCGAACGCUUUUUCGACAAGGACGUCGACGCCUUCUUUGUGAACAACGAUUGAAUCGUGUUCCACACCGAUGUGCGUCGUGCCACGACGCCUAAUGAGCAAUGAAAAAUUUCAAUAAAAGUCAACAGUGACAGCCUCAGAAA